GAAACAUCCAGACAAGUCAUGACACUCACCACCCAGGGUUUGCUAUGUAUCUUGUGAAUGUUUUCCAGCAACAAGGCAAAGCGUCAUGAAAAGGCUAGUGGACACUGUACUGGGGCUUUUGUUUGCCCAGGUUUGCUGUGUGCGAGGGAUGGAUGUGGUGCAGAGUCCCCCAGCCCUGAGUCUCCAGGAGGGAGCCAGCUCUACUCUGCAGUGUAAUUUCUCCACCUUCCCAAACAGCGUGCAGUGGUAUCUUCAGAACCCUGGGGGCCGCCUCAUCCACCUGUUUUCCGUUCCUUCAGGGACAAAGCAGGAAGGAAGAUUAAAUGCCACUACAGUCCCCAAAGAAGGCCGCAGCUCACUGCACAUUUCCUCUCCGCGGACCACAGACUCGGGCACUUACUUCUGUGCUGCGCAGCACGGUGCUCCCCAGGCACCUGCAGCCUCUACAUGA